rnacentral:lncRNA from 1 species
CCUAAAGAUGCUGUUCUGGGCACUGUUUUAAAACAUUUUUUUCCGUGAAGUUUUCCUUCCCUCUAUUUCCUUAUAUUUAUGUAUUUGUAAAAUGACAUCAAAGACAGAGCCUUUCUUAGGUCCUAAUCUCUCUACCGAGUGGUAGCGUCUGAAUAACAAAGGGGAGUGGCCAAUGUCUCUUUUAACAAGGAGGAUGUGCUUAUGGCAGGCGCCCCGGGAGCCCAGGGCAGGGCUCAGGCCGGGUAGCCCUGAGAAGCAGGGCCCAUUGAAUAUGUGUGAAAUGCAGAACACUCAGUAAAUGGGCUGUAGUGGAAAUCCCGCAUCUGUGAUACCGGAGGGGUUUGUGUAUUUCUGGCUGCUGGUAGAUAAGAACCAGAAAUUUCUGUGUGCUGAAAACUAGAGCACAGAAAGAUUGGUGCUUGUUAUAUGAGUUUGCUUGGGGACUUCCCCAGCCAGUUCUGUGCUCCUCAAGGCGGGAAACCAUGCUUGCCAAUCUUUUGGACUCAUUUUUAAUCGGCUUGGAAAUUUAAUCAGAAUAAUGCCAGGUAUGGAAACCACCGCCUGGGAUUAAAGCAUCAGUGAAGAUGCUGCUUAGGAGGAAUUCAGAUUUUAGAGAAGAAAGGAGGUCAUGAGAGCUCAUUACUGGAUCACUGAACUGGUGCCUCAGCCAUGAACCUGGUGAAGAAUGAGAAAAGAAAUCUUUCUUCCCCUACAGAAACAACUCUUGUACCAAUUCAUGUGGUGAGGUGUGGAGGAGACCCAGAUGUGCCCAGGUACCUCUCCCAGCCCCAGGAGGGGUAGUGAAAGGGACUGGACAAGAUCCAAACAAGCCUGCUUUAGAACCCAGCAAGACACGAGGAAGGUGACCUCCAGCAGCUGGUUGAAGGAUGUGGCAGAGCUUGAGUGAGUAGCCAGGGAGAAUCACCAGGCCAUUGUGGAGAUGCAAGGGGCCAGUCUGGCCCAGUCCAGCCCAGCCCAGCUUCUGCAGGAGACACUAACACUCCUCCAGAUAUUGGCUGCUCCAUGAGGGUCACUCUCCAGGAGCAGCCCAGUCUAGGCAUUUUGCUGCAAGGGAUGCCAUGUGGAAUCAAGGACCUUUCCCUUCCUUGAACAUCAUCUUGGGGAAGAGAAGGAAGGAAGGAAGGAAGGAAGAUCAGGCAUCUGAAAGACUGAAU